UAUCAAUAAGCGGAGGAAAAGAAACUAACAAGGAUUCCCCUAGUAACUGCGAGUGAAGCGGGAAAAGCUCAAAUUUAAAAUCUGGUGGUCUUUGGCCAUCCGAGUUGUAAUUUAGAGAAGCGUCUUCCGCGCUGGACCGUGCACAAGUCUCCUGGAAUGGAGCGUCGUAGAGGGUGAGAAUCCCGUCUUUGGCACGGAUGCACCAGGGCUUCUGUGAUGCGCUCUCGAAGAGUCGAGUUGUUUGGGAAUGCAGCUCAAAAUGGGUGGUGAACUCCAUCUAAAGCUAAAUAUUGGCGAGAGACCGAUAGCGAACAAGUACCGUGAGGGAAAGAUGAAAAGCACUUUGGAAAGAGAGUGAAACAGUACGUGAAAUUGUUGAAAGGGAAACGCUUGAAGUCAGUCGCGUCGCCCGAGACUCAGCCUCGCCUCGGCUUGGUGUACUUCUCGGCCGACGGGUCAGCAUCAAUUUCGCCCCUUGGAUAAUGGCGAGGGAAAUGUGGCACCUUCACGGGUGUGUUAUAGUCUCUCGUCGCAUGCAAGGGUCGGGAUUGAGGAACUCAGCACGCGCCUUUCGGCGUCGGGGUUCGCCCACGAUACGUGCUUAGGAUGUUGGCGUAAUGGCUUUAAACGACC
rnacentral:rRNA from 1 species